CAGAAUUUCAGUUGCUUCUGUGAUCUAUGACGCAAGUUAAUGUUAAGCGAGAAACUCAUCGUUUCCGGUAGGUCCGGAAAUUUUGUUGUAAACCUGAGCAGAAGCUUCUAAUUCUAAAAACACUUGUAACGAAGAAAUUUUGCAGACAUUUUGCCAUACUAUUCCCCGACUAUGACGGAAGGAGCUACCAAAUUGAAUCAAGUCUCCGAACACGUAGCGGUCUUGCGACGGACUGAUAACUCGUCCGAGG